GGGAGCGUCUCCCCGGGAGCGCCCGGCGUGCGUACUCACCUCUCACUUUUAUCUAAACGCUCCUCAGAUGCUUCCUGACACCGCGCCGCCAGACGUUUGAACACGUGAACGCUCGCUUCCUUUUCCAGUCAAACCUGCCGUGAAUUUGAAGAAGACAUGAACUCAAACAGGAAAUCGCAUUCAGGCAAGCAAAUAAAAGCCUCGUUGUUCCUGAAAGAACUUUAUUUACAGGUUCAUAUAUAGCAAGGAUCACGAUGGUAGUUAAGAAAAUCCCAGUCACUCCGUCUAUAUGUGCCCUAACGAAAAAGAAAAGAAAAAACAUAAAUUUGAGCUUUAAAGGUCAACUGAAUGCAGCAGAAGUCUGACCACUUUUCUUCUUAAACUGAAUUCCACUUCCUGGUUCCUGAAAAUCUGUCAUUUUUAAGAAGAACUCGUGGCCGCACAUCUGAGGAAACCCGGUCCGGUUCUGUCGGGACGCACAAAUGAUACAAUCAUGGUGCUGCUGAAGCGGAGCGUCGGACCGGGUCGAGACCGGCCCGUGCCUUCAUGCUCCUCCGACGCUCUGAGAAUCCAGCUGUUUGCAACAUAUUCAAAA